GAGCAUUAUGUGCUAGAAAUUGAGGGAGACUCUAGAAACAUACAUAGUGGUUGGCCAGGCAACCCUGGUCCUUACUUUCAUGGAGUUCAAAGAUUAUGGAGGCAGGCACAACCUAGAGGUGAGCAGGAAGUUGGCAGACCCAUUUGACCCUCCAUUAAGCUAUAACAUAGCUAUUAUCAAAUCUAAAGAUAUACAUGAGUUUCCCUUUGCCUUUUUUUCCUCAUUUGGUUCAGCACUCAGGCAGAAAAACAGCUGUCAUGGACUGGUCCCUCUACCCUCCAGUAAAGGAUGUAGGAGAAAGUGCUUGAGGCUUAUAGCCUGAUAUUUAAUAGAUGAGGGGGAGCUGUGUUUAGGCAGGAAUUGGUAAAGUGACAUAUAAAUGAAAUCAUACAGUAUAUGUUAUUUUGCAUCUAGCUUCUUUCACUUAAUGAUUUUAUGUAGCAUGUAUUAGUACUUCAUUCCUUUUUUUGUGGCUGAAUAAUCUUCUGUCAUACAGAUAUACCACAUUUUGUUUAUCCAUUUAUCAGUUGAUGGGUUUUGGGUUGUUUCUACCUUUUUGUCACUGAAUAGUGCUGCAAUGGACACUCAUAUAGGAGUUUUUGUGUAGACACACUUUCAUUUC
rnacentral:lncRNA from 1 species